CCUACGGGAGGCAGCAGUCGGGAAUUUUCCACAAUGGACGAAAGUCUGAUGGAGCAACGCCGCGUGCAGGAUGAAUGCUUUCGGGUUGUAAACUGCUUUUAUAUGUGACGAUUAUGACGGUAGCAUAUGAAUAAGGAUCGGCUAAUUCCGUGCCAGCAGCCGCGGUAAU
rnacentral:rRNA from 1 species